rnacentral:lncRNA from 1 species
UGGGAAUAAGAAAGACUUUCUUAUUCCUCCACAUUCUCGCUCCUGCGUAUCCAGAUUUGGGGGUCUGGCAUUUUGGUUCUUUGAAUUUGGAAUGCACAAACCUUGAAGGUGAUUUCCCUUACACGUUGCGAUUAAGAUAAGAGAAAAUAAAGAGCUAUCUCAAUCUCGAUGUCUGAGGAACAACUUCAAUCUCUUUCUGCAACAUAACACACAACAAAGAACACAAUCCUUCAAGAAACAAUAAAACAAAACAAAAAAGUCCUUUUCAAAAAAAACAAAACAGAUUAAAAAAAAACAAAGGAGAGGUUUAUUCUUAGAGGAAGUUCUAAAGCAAAAAAAAAAAAUCAAUUCUAACUUCACACUCAAAUGAUUAAAGCUAUGUUUGAGACAACUUUAGAUCCAAAAUUAGUUUGCAGAGGAAACCCACCUCGUAUUUAAAGUGCAGUUUAUAUGGCAAUUCAAUUCACAGAUGCAUCAUUUCUUUCAAUAAAAAACGCAUAUGAAAUAUACCAGUAUCUACUGAUAAC